ensembl:lncRNA
CCCCGCAGCUCCCCUUGGUCCCCGUGGGGCCGGCGGCGCCGCUGCCUCCAGGUAAGCGGUGCCCAACGGGGCCGGCUCCUGCCCCACCUGGGGUGGGUUUGUGGGGGGUCUCUGGGAUGGCGACGGGAUUUUGGUGCUCCAGCAAGGAGGGUGAGCCCUCUUGGGGUGCUAAUACCGGGGCCAGAGCGGGGUUUGGGCUCGGAGCACAUCCACAGAGGAGCGAUGCUCACAGGGGAUGCUCCAGCACUGCGGGGUUUGGAGGCCGUCAGCCUGCUGGCAGAGGAAGCACCCUGGGGAUGGGGGUGUGGAGCAUCCCAGCCCUGCUCUCCCUUCCCAGGCUGGACAAACAAAGGACGAGGUGCCCGGGCCUCGGCACGGGGUGUGGGUGUAGGGUUUCUCCUCCCCGUGGGGCCACCACGUCCCCGAGGGCUGUGGGUGGCCCUGUGGCUGCUCCGGGCUUGGCGUCGCCCUUUGGGACCAUCGGUUAUCCGGGGACGGGCUCCGGCAGCUGGGGCUGUGUGGGGCUUGGCCGGCAGCCCCGGCACAGAGGAGGAGGAGGAGGAGGAGGAGGAGGAGGAGGAGGCAGGGCCGGCCAAGCAGCGGAGCUGGGGCUGGGCUGAAGGGGCUGGGAUUUGCUGCUUUGCCUUUUUUUUUUUUUUUUUUUCCCUUUUUUUUAAUUUCCUCCCCUGCUUCCUUCCCCUCUUCCGCCUUCUCCUCCCUCUAUCCCGGCCCUCUCCUGAUGCUCGGGGGGCACAUGGAGGGGGGCCGGCGCCUUGAGCCGGGGCGAGCCCCCCGACCCCCGGCACCACCGGAGCGCCCCGAGCCCCCCCGGGGGGGCCCCCACGCCGUCCUGGAGAGCAAGGUGAAGGCGCUGAAGGAGAAGCGGGGCACCAGCCGCCCGGGGACCCCCCCCACCACCACCCCCGCCGCCGCUCCCCCCGAGCGCCCCUCGCCCAAAAAGCCCCGACCCCGCAGGGGGAAGCCCGGGGUGGACGCGGCGGUGGCGGAGCCGCGGGCUCAGCUCCGCACCUACCUGACCGACGGGCUGCUGGACGCCGGGGAGCCCCCCGAGCCCCCCCAGGGGACCCGCAGGGUGUCGGGGAGCAGCCAGCAGCACCCCAAGGAGGGGGCCCGGGGCUGUGCCCCCCCGGCAGCGGAUGGCGGCGAGGCGGCGGCGGGCUGGGAGCCGCUCUCCUUGGCCGAGAGGGUGGAGAGGAACCGGCGGCUGCUGCAGGAGGUGCUGGGGCUGGCGGCGGCCGGCUCGGCGCAGGAGGUGCUGGCGAGCGAUGGGGACUGGGACUCGGGGGUCUCGCUGCAGGAUGCCGAGGGCUGCAGGUGGGUCGGCCCCAAAGGCUUCCCCUGGGGGCCCCGCAGUGAAACGUGGGGCUUGGUUUGGGUUUUGGGGGGGCCCGUGGGGAGCCAGCAGCUGGAUCUGAUCCUCGUGGGUCCCUGGCAGCUCGGGGGGUUCGGGCGUUGUGCUGGGGGCUCGGGGUCCUGCAGGGGGAGGAGAGGGGAGGGGAGCGGGGCAGAAAUUUGCCGCAGGUGCUUAAGGGCUUAGGGGAGGCAGGAGCGCGUAAUCUCGUUGGCCUAAUGAUAAACCCUGGCGGCGAGGGCUAAAAAUACGGGGAGGGACGGGCAGGUGAGCUGGGCUGCGGGGGCAGAGCUGGGGCUGGGGGGUAGGCUGGAAAGGGGCAGCAAUUUGGGGUGAAAACACGCCCAUAUGGCAAUUAUCAAAUUUGUAGUGCUCUGGCAGCUGAGGUUUGGUGGGUGCAAGGCUGAGAGCUGGGGGUGCCCACGGGGGCAGCCAAAAUGGGGGGUGAAGGGGCU